AUCACAAGACUUAUGUUUCAAUGACAGCUAGGAAUUUAUAUAUCUAUAUAUAUAAAGUUAUAUUUUUCUCUUCUCGUGACAAGUGACAGAGGGCUUUUGCGACACGUGUCCUCCCUUAAAAAUUCUAAUUUUUUAAUCUAUCUAUAAAUAAAGUUAUAUUUUUUUCUUUUCGUGACAAGUGGCAGGGGGCUCUUGCGACACGUGUCCUCCCUUGAAAAUUCUAAUUUUUUAAUCUAUCUAUCUAUAAAUAUAAAGUUAGUUUUUUCUCUUCUCAUGACAAGUGUUAGGGGGCUUUUGCGACACGUGUUCUCCCUUGAAAAUUCUACACAAUGCGCCACGUCAUCCCUCCUACCCUAUUUUGUGACACGUGUCGAGCAGAGAGAGAGCUUCUUCUUUUUCCUUUUGCUUCUAACUCGCAGAGCUUUUUUCUGUGUUUCUAACUCGCAGAGGAGUAGCCGGGCUUUCUGUUUAUUCAUUGGGCUUUAAUACUUUCAUCUUUCUGGCAUGUCUGGUGUUUAGGUUUAGUUGUACGCUCUUUUCCAGUUUGACGCUGUAACUCAUCGUUAGCUAUCUUCACCGAAGAGAUUUUAUGUAAGGUUUCUCCCUUUCUUAAAUUCUUAUUUUAAUUCAAUCAUUAAACUCCACCCACCUCUCCUCCCACUCCAUCUCAUUUAUUCACAUUCACGUCUGUAACAGAUACAAGCUCGACAUAUAAAUAAGUGUUCCGGAUAUGAUGAAGACCUACACCGUUCUAAUCUCUUAU
rnacentral:lncRNA from 1 species